rnacentral:rRNA from 1 species
UACGUAGGUGGCAAGCGUUUGUCCGGAUUUACUGGGCGUAAAGGAUGCGUAGGCGGACAUUUAAGUCAGAUGUGAAAUACCCGAGCUUAACUUGGGUGCUGCAUUUGAAACUGGGUGUCUAGAGUGCAGGAGAGGUAAGUGGAAUUCCUAGUGUAGCGGUGAAAUGCGUAGAGAUUAGGAAGAACACCAGUGGCGAAGGCGACUUACUGGACUGUAACUGACGCUGAGGCAUGAAAGCGUGGGGAGCAAACAGG